GACGAACGCUGGCGGCGUGCCUAACACAUGCAAGUCGAACGGGGAGUUACUUGUAACUCCUAGUGGCGAACGGGUGAGUAACGCGUAGACAACCUGCCUCUAAACUGGGGACAACACCGCGAAAGUGGUGCUAAUACCGACUGUGGUAACUUGAUCGCAUGAUCGAGUUAAGAAAGAUGGCAUCUGAAUAUGCUAUCGAUUAGAGAUGGGUCUGCGUCUGAUUAGCUAGUUGGUGAGGUAAUGGCUCACCAAGGCGACGAUCAGUAGCCGGUCUGAGAGGAUGAACGGCCACACUGGGACUGAGACACGGCCCAGACGCCUACGGGAGGCAGCAGUGGGGAAUCUUCCGCAAUGGACGAAAGUCUGACGGAGCAACGCCGCGUGAGUGAAGAAGGUCUUCGGAUUGUAAAGCUCUGCCGUUUGGGACGAAUGUGAGCUGUGUGAAUAAUGCAGCUUAAUGACGGUACCAAAGGAGGAAGCCACGGCUAACUACGUGCCAGCCGCCGCAGUAAAAC
rnacentral:rRNA from 1 species